AGACUUUGUGUUGCGAGUUCACUUUUGGAAACUAGUGCAUGUGGUGUCAAAAAAGGUGGAAACUUUGCAGCCUUUUCCUGCCCUUGAAUUUGAAUUUGAAUUUGCAUUUGAAUAUUGUUUGUGUAGGAGCUGCAUAAAGUAAGAGUU